CAGUAAGGGACUGCCCAGGUGUGCCCUCUCCCUGUCAAAGGGCUGCCGCUAGAGACCUCGCCUGCCAAUAGGCAUUCGCUGGCCGCGCCGCCCUGGGCAGUGACCUGGGGCUGCAGAGUGGCAUCUGGCAUGGGGACACGGCCAGGGGCAUGGGCUCACGGCCAGGACAGAGGAGGACAAGGCCUAAGGCAGGAACAGUCCGGGACAGGCCGAAGGCCCCAUGGUGCCCCAGGGUACUAUAGCCACUAGCCACAUGUGGCUACUUAAAUUUCAAUUAGUUAGAAUUCAGCAUUCCGUUCCUCAGCCACAGGAGCCACAUUUCAGGGACUCAGUAGCCGCAUGUGGCUUAGCAGCUGCCACGCUGGAUAGCACAAAUAUAAAACACUUCCCCCGUCCCCCCAGAAAGUUCUGCAGCACAGUCGCAUGCUGAACUGUGUCCUCCCGUAAUUCAUAUGUUGAAGUCCUAACCCCCAGUACCUCAGCAUGUGACUGCAUUUGGAGUUAAGGUUUUUAAAAAGGUAAUGAAGUUAAAAUGAGGUCACAGGGGUGAUCCCUAAUCCGGUAUGACUGGCGUCCUCAUAAAAAGAGGAGAUGAGGACACAGACACACACAGAGGGCAGCCCAUGUGAAGACACAGGGAGAAGAUGGCAUCUACAAGCCAAGGAGAAAGGCCUCCGAUGGAACUCCCCCUGCCGACACCGUGAUCUCGCACUUCCAGCCACCAGAACCGAGAGCGUCAAUUCCUGUGGUGGAAGCCGCCCGGCCUAUGGUGCAGUGCUCUGGCAGCCCUAGGGAACUCAUGCAGGCACAAAGGGCUCCAGCCUCCCCACAGGGUUGGGACUUUUCUAUCAAUUAACUACAUGUGGAGUGAUACACAGAGGCAAAACCCUGGAGGAGUGUGCAAGGCGGAGGAGGGGCGGGGACGCACAGGGGAAGAAACAGUUCAUUCCUUCAUUCCGCGGGGGAGCCGGGUGACCUGAGCAGGGUUUGGGAUUGGAAUGGAGAGGUCAGAUAUGAAGGGAGUUUCCCAGGAAAACGCAAAAACGGGGAGACUACCCCUACCAGGUGAGCAGAGCGGGUGACGAGGGAUUUUGGUGAAGCCGGUAGCAAGGCGGGUGCGGGAGGCAGGGAGGUGAGCAGCGGCGCCAGGAUGCAGAGUAGCCUCCCGGCCCUGCUCUGAGGCAAGGACUUCAGUCCCGUGGGCACUGGAGCUGGCAAGGGGGUUUGGGAAAGCAGAGGAACUCAUGUGUCUGGGCAGAGAAUGAUCCAUAGGAGAGAAGACUAGAAAUAGGGAGGCCAUUAAAAUGCUGUUGCCGGCCGGGCGCGGUGGCUCACGCCUGUAAUCCCAGCACUUUGGGAGGCUGAGGCAGGCGGAUCACGAGGUCAGGAGAUCGAGACCAUCCUGGCUAACACGGUGAAACCACGUCUCUACUAAAAAUACAAAAAAUUAGCCUGGCGUGGUGGCGGGCGCUUGUAGUUCCAGCUACUCGGGAGGCUGAGGCAGGAGAAUCACUUGAACCCCGGAGACAGAGGUUGCAGUGAGCCGAGAUUGUGUCACUGCACUCCAGCCUGGGCAACAGAGCGAGACUCCGUCUCAAAAAUAAUAAUAAUAAUAAUAAUAAUAAUAAAUGCUGUUGCCUACACCUGUUAGGAGCUCAGGGGACAUCCAGGCCCCAGAACUCAUCAUUUUAGAGUCAAGGAGGCAAGGGCAUGAACGUGACGGUUAAGAAGCAGAAACCGUGGCUGGAGAGGAGGAAAUCUGCAAUUACCAGAAAGUACUGAGAUUGUCACAGACAAGAGGAGCCAAGGAGACAUGAUGACUAAACGUCACGUGGGUUCCUAGAUGGGAUCCCAGAACAGAAAAAGGACAUUAGGUAAAAGCUGAGGACAUCAGAAUUAAGUAUGGGGCUUUAGUUUAAUAAUAAUGCAUCAAUAUUGAUUCCCGGGUAGGAGGAGGGUGAGGAUUGAAGAACUACCUAUCGGGGAUUAUUGUGCUGAUUACUUGGGUGACAAAAGUAUCUAUCUGUACACCAAACCGCCAUGACAUGCAAUUUACCCAUGUAAAAAACCUGCACAUGUACCCCCUGGACCUAAAAUAAAAGUUGGAAAGAAAUAAGUAUAUUUUACUGGAAACAACAUUUGAGUCACUCAGUGUGGCAAAUGUACCCUACUCAUGUAAGGGUUAAUAAUAGGGGGUUUUGGGUGUGGGGGACCUCAGUAUAACAUCUUUGCAACUUUUCUGUAGAUCUAAAACUACUCAAAAUAAAAAGUGUAUUUUAAAAAAA
ensembl:lncRNA novel transcript, antisense to DGKD